GCGCGGUACAUCAUGCAAAUCAAUCUUCAAAGCGUGAAAGUGUAAACAGCCAAGUAAACCGAAAAUAAAUAAACGUUUAGGACAAGUUAUCUCUCAUUCCUAGGACUUCCUUUCAUUCUUUUCUUCCUAAACCUUUUACAUUUUGUAACCUGGUGCCAUACUUCU
rnacentral:ribozyme from 15 species